rnacentral:rRNA from 1 species
CCUACGGGAGGCUGCAGUGAGGAAUAUUGGUCAAUGGGCGGAAGCCUGAACCAGCCAAGUCGCGUGCAGGAUGACGGCCCUACGGGUUGUAAACUGCUUUUAUACGGGAACAACGCGCCUCACGUGUAGGUCUUUGCAUGUACCCUAUGAAUAAGGACCGGCUAAAUCCGUGCCAGCAGCCGCGGUAAUACGGAGGGUCCGGGCGUUAUCCGGAUUUAUUGGGUUUAAAGGGAGCGCAGGCGGAGGUUCAAGGCAGCGGUAAAAUUUCGGGGCUCAACCCCGUCCUGCCGGGGAAACUGGGGUGCUUGAGUGCGCGGGAAGCAGGCGGAAUGCGUGGUGUAGCGGUGAAAUGCUUAGAUAUCACGCAGAACCCCGAUUGCGAAGGCAGCUUGCUGCAGCGGAACUGACGCUGAUGCACGAAAGCGCGGGUAUCGAACAGGAUUAGAUACCCUAGUAGUC